UACGGGGGGGGGGCAAGCGUUGUUCGGAAUUACUGGGCGUAAAGGGCUCGUAGGCGGCCAACUAAGUCGGAUGUGAAAUCCCCAGGCUUAACCUGGGAACUGCAUUCGAGACUGCAUUACUAGAGUAUGGGAGAGGGAAGUGGAAUUUCCGGUGUAGCGGUGAAAUGCGUAGAUAUCGGAAGGAACAUCAGUGGCGAAAAGCGACUUCCUGGACCAAUACUGACGCUCAUGUGCGAAAGCGUGGGGAGCAAACAGG
rnacentral:rRNA from 1 species